GACGAACGCUGGCGGCGUGCCUAAUACAUGCAAGUUGAGCGAUGAAGAUUGGUGCUUGCACCAAUUUGAAGAGCAGCGAACGGGUGAGUAACGCGUGGGGAAUCUGCCUUUGAGCGGGGGACAACAUUUGGAAACGAAUGCUAAUACCGCAUAACAACUUUAAACAUAAGUUUUAAGUUUGAAAGAUGCAAUUGCAUCACUCAAAGAUGAUCCCGCGUUGUAUUAGCUAGUUGGUGAGGUAAAGGCUCACCAAGGCGAUGAUACAUAGCCGACCUGAGAGGGUGAGCGGCCACAUUGGGACUGAGACACGGCCCAAACGCCUACGGGAGGCAGCAGUAGGGAAUCUUCGGCAAUGGACGAAAGUCUGACCGAGCAACGCCGCGUGAGUGAAGAAGGUUUUCGGAUCGUAAAACUCUGUUGGUAGAGAAGAACGUUGGUGAGAGUGGAAAGCUCAUCAAGUGACGGUAACUACCCAGAAAGGGACGGCUAACUACGUG
rnacentral:rRNA from 1 species